rnacentral:lncRNA from 1 species
UGGGUGAAAAGGCACUGGCAUAAGGGCAGCCAGCUGCAGAAGGCCGGCCCAGGGCUGGGUGUGGCCACAGCUUUAGAAGCUGAUGCGAAUGAGUCACCACGGGCUGCAGUCACACCAGGGGACAGAGAGAGCUGGAAAGGCAGAGAAAAGCAACCCCGGGGGCUUGAGGCUGUGUCAGCCCUAAACAAGGCCUGGCCAGCUCGCUGGGCAAGAACAACUUCCAAAUGCCAACCAGGGGCUCCUCCUUGAGUCAGAGGACUCAGCCCUGCAAGUCCUUGAGCUUUGCCAGGGAAGGACACUCCUGGGUUUGUGGCUUUUCCUGCGUCUAGAUCACCAGCUAGAGCGUGAGCCUUCAUUUGUUCAUUCUGAGCCCAAGCAAACACUGCAAGCUUGAGACAGCAAUGUAAAGGGAAGCAGCAUUGAAGAGAGGCCACCUCAGGAAGCCUAGUGCAAAUCCCUGCCCUGCUGCUUCCUAGCAUCUGACUCAAGGAAAGUUACUCUCGGAGCCCCCAGUUAUAAGGGGGAGGCUAGUGGUGCCAACUCUAUUGCCAACCUCAAAGGGAAGUCGUUGCAUUGCAGUAAAUGGUGUGUGUCAAGCCCUCCACAAAGUACCUGGCACAUAGGAAGUCCUUCCCCCAAUGGCUGCUGCAUGCAGGCCAUCUGGAAUUGCCAGCAUCAUCCACUUGACCUUGAAGCUGCAGGUGGUCAACUGGCCGAGAAACAGGACGAUGAGAGGCCUACUGAUGUGCCCACAGUCCCACAGCUGACACCUGGCUUCCCCUCUCCCGCCCAGCACACCUUCCAUGACUAGUUAGAGGACAUCUCUGCAGAGUGUAUAAGAAAGAAGGAGACGGGGGAGAGCACCCACGUAGGGAGACCAAUACGAAAGUGUCCUCCUGACUUUCUGUCCUCUAAGGAGAAAAUACUGCAGAGUAGCUGGAGUCCAGAAUUUCCUUUCCUUAGGAGGCAAGAGGAAGAGGAUAAGAAAGGGCCUAAUUUCACAAAGAAACUCAUUGCUUUUACAUUUGAGAAGCUGUUGGGGUUUUUGUUUUUGUUUUUAAUUUUUUUUUUUUUUUUGACGUGUACCAUUUUUAAAGUCUUGAUUGAAUUUGUUACAGUAUUACUUCUGUUUUACCCUUUUUGGCCAGGAGGGAUCUUAGUUGCCAAAGAGGGAUUGAAUCUGCAUCUCCUGCACUGGAAGACGAAGUCUUAACCACUAGACCACGAGGGAAGUCCCUAGGAUACUGUUGUUGAGAUGAUAAUGAUAUCCUUGACAUCAAUGAAGAUAAUUGACCUUAAUCAACAAGAUUU